rnacentral:lncRNA from 1 species
GUCCGUUGGAGGAGACCGGAUGGAUCUGUGGAAGGGCGGCUGGCGUUGUUGAAGGUUGAUGGCCGGAGAGGUGCGGAAGGCACCAGAGACAGUCGGUCACUGUAGAAUUCUGGCAACUAGAGCACGUCCGUUGUAGAAGUUCAUCCGAAAUCCAACCGCUGUAGAAGUUCGAACGGAGUCCGGUUCCUGUAGGAGUCCGAAAGGAGGCCACAUACCGUAGAAGCUCGGAUG